rnacentral:rRNA from 1 species
UACGUAGGGGGCAAGCGUUGUCCGGAAUCAUUGGGCGUAAAGAGCGUGUAGGCGGCCCGGUAAGUCCGCUGUGAAAGUCCAGGGCUCAACCCUGGGAUGCCGGUGGAUACUGUCGGGCUCGAGUCCGGAAGAGGAGUGUGGAAUUCCUGGUGUAGCGGUGAAAUGCGCAGAUAUCAGGAGGAACACCAAUGGCGAAGGCAGCACUCUGGGACGUGACUGACGCUGAGACGCGAAAGCGUGGGGAGCGAAUGGG